GAUGAACGCUAGCUACAGGCUUAACACAUGCAAGUCGCGGGGCAGCAUGGGGGUUGCUUGCAAUCCCCGAUGGCGACCGGCGCACGGGUGAGUAACGCGUAUCCAACCUGCCCUUCACCACGGGAUAACCCGGCGAAAGUCGGACUAAUACCGUAUGUUGUCCAUUGACGGCAUCCGAUUUGGACGAAAGGUUUGGCGGUGAAGGAUGGGGAUGCGUCCGAUUAGCUGGACGGCGGGGUGACGGCCCACCGUGGCGACGAUCGGUAGGGGUUCUGAGAGGAAGGUCCCCCACACUGGAACUGAGACACGGUCCAGACUCCUACGGGAGGCAGCAGUGAGGAAUAUUGGGCAAUGGGCGUAAGCCUGAACCAGCCAAGUAGCGUGCAGGAUGACGGCCCUAUGGGUUGUAAACUGCUUUUAUGCGGGGAUAAAGUGGCCCACGUGUGGGUUUUUGCAGGUACCGCAUGAAUAAGGACCGGCUAAUUCCGUG
rnacentral:rRNA from 1 species